CAUGUGCCCAGAGCAGAGCAGAGGCAGAUGCGAGCUUCUGCUAAUCCUAACCUUCGCCUGUAUCAUCGUCAAGGACAUGUAGGAAGAAACGGACACCGAUCACUGUGGAGAAGUAGAGAUAUGACUGGGAGCAGCUGGUCACAUCUACAUUCAAGAACAGAGAGAGAAUGAACAUAUGGCUGCCCGUGCAGGACCCCAGACUUAGGGGAUGGUACCGCCCAUGGUAGGAUAGAUUUCUCUUAUAGCAAUGAUCAAUCAAGACAAACUCUCACGGAGGCUCUUCACCAGUGACUCUAGCUUGUUUUGACAACUAAAACUUUUAUG
rnacentral:lncRNA from 1 species